GGGCCCGCACAAGCAGUGGAUUAUGUGGUUUAAUUCGAAGCAACGCGAAGAACCUUACCAGGGCUUGACAUCCCUCUGACAGGUGUAGAGAUACACCCUUCUUCGGACAGAGGUGACAGGUGGUGCAUGGUUGUCGUCAGCUCGUGUCGUGAGAUGUUGGGUUAAGUCCCGCAACGAGCGCAACCCUUGUCGUUAGUUGCUACCAUUUAGUUGAGCACUCUAGCGAGACUGCCGGUGACAAAUCGGAGGAAGGUGGGGACGACGUCAAAUCAUCAUGCCCCUUAUGUCCUGGGCUACACACGUAAUACAAUGGCAUUUUUACAACGGGAAGCGAAACUGCGAAGUGGAGCAAAUCCUUUAAAAGAUGUCUCAGUUCGGAUUGCAGGCUGAAACCCGCCUGCAUGAAGUUGGAAUUGCUAGUAAUCGCGAAUCAGAAUGUCG
rnacentral:rRNA from 1 species